AAGGACUCUGAGCAUGCUGAGCUGGCUCUUAAUCUUUGAGCCUUCUCUAAAAUCUUCUUCUAUAAAUGAGGACCCUUUUUCCCGAGGCUAGUACAGUCCAAGAGAAGUACAAUGAGUGUGCAGGCCUAAAGAUCUAAAUCAGAAUUGGGGAAGGGAAGGGAAAAUUAGCACAUUUUGCAGGACCUGUAUCCCUGCCUCAGUGAUUCCUGGAGAUCCUCAUGCACCAAUGACUAUGGGAAUAAACUUUCCAGUUCCUACAAAAGGUUCUGGUGUGGCCAGAUGAGAAAGAACCAAUUGGAGUCCCAAAACUUUGGACAAGUUUGAAAAGAAAGAAAUGGUAUGAUCUGAAAUGGAAAAAAACUCAUCAGGGAGCCCCCUCUAAGUGAACUUCCCCUUACAUAUCUUUUACCAGAACUGGAUCCCGUGCUCCCGCCCCAAGCACUCACUUGCUUGUCUUCGACCAGUCACAGCUGAUCCUUUGGGAACAAAAAGGCAAGCUGCUGUGUGAGUAACAGCGGAGUCCUGCUGUGGGUAGGCCGUCUACCACAAAUCCAUUACUCAGAAGAAGAAUUGAGAGUGAUCAAAAUUUUUAUCCAAAAACUUGCAAUUUACAGACGCAUAUUUAAUUAAGGAACUUUUGACCUUAUCAGUUCAACUUAUCAAGACAGAAAGAUCAGAUGCUUUGCCAUAUAUCUUAAGGAUUUUCGUUUUGUCCCCCUUGACUAUUUCUCAGCUACACUGUAACGAUAAUGAUAAUAAUUACAUAUCUGUGUAAUAUUUCAUCAUUCAUUAAUAAUUUCUAUAUACAUUAUCCAUUUGACCUGUACAAAAACUGUGUGGGGUACGUAAAUAUUAUAAUUUUCAUUAUUUCUUAUUGAGGUUAGGUUUAAUCAUACUUCUUAGCACACGGCACACUAUCAUCCAUUGUUUGUACCCUGCCCCUCUCUUGUUUGAAUAAUUAAUCAAUCAAUCCUUUCCCUUUUAUUACUCACUCCCACUCCCGCUUCUCUUCUUCCACACAGGCAAUAAUUCUAAAGGAAUCUGAUGUUUACCUGUUAUUUAUACGUGGAUAUGUAAAAUGUAUAUUUGUGUAGUGUGCAUGCAAUUUUCAUUUCCAUAAGUGGUAAUAUUCUGUAGCUCUCAUUCUGGUUUGUACAUUUUUCACUCUACUAUGUUUUCAAGAGUGAUCCAUGUUCCCGCAUAGACCUACUCCCUUGCCUCUAAAUGCUGCAUAACAUUCCCCCCGUGAGGGUCCAUCAGGGUUUACUCAUCUACGCCCCUUAGUGGAAACCUUGAUGGCCUCCAAAUCUGCACAUACAAGCAUCUUCACCCCUGCUGUCGCGCCUGGGUGGGAAUUCCUCUGGGAUACACACUCAAGAGAAUGGUUGCUGAGUCAUACGAUAGACACUUAAUCUGAAUAAGUACCACCAAAACGUCUCUCCGGAAAGUCUGCACUGAUCUAUACUACCAGGAAUUGUUC
rnacentral:lncRNA from 1 species